GCCCAGGUGGCGAAAUUGGUAGACGCGCUAGAUUCAGGUUCUAGUGGCCGCAAGGUCAUGAUGGUUCAACUCCAUUCCUGGGCACCA
rnacentral:tRNA from 1 species